AGAGCGCUUCUCAUAUGCCGACGCAUUGUUCUGAGCCUUCUCUAUUAGCUUUGUCAUUUCAU
rnacentral:sRNA from 1 species